rnacentral:rRNA from 1 species
UACGUAGGGCGCAAGCGUUGUCCGGAAUUAUUGGGCGUAAAGAGCUCGUAGGCGGUCUGUCGCGUCGAUCGUGAAAACUUGGGGCUUAACCCUGAGCUUGCGGUCGAUACGGGCAUGACUGGAGUUCGGCAGGGGAGUACUGGAAUUCCUGGUGUAGCGGUGAAAUGCGCAGAUAUCAGGAGGAACACCGGUGGCGAAGGCGGGUCUCUGGGCCGAUACUGACGCUGAGGAGCGAAAGCGUGGGGAGCGAACAGG